rnacentral:rRNA from 1 species
AGUGAACGCUGGCGGUAGGCCUAACACAUGCAAGUCGAACGGCAGCACAGUAAGAGCUUGCUCUUACGGGUGGCGAGUGGCGGACGGGUGAGGAAUACAUCGGAAUCUACUUUUUCGUGGGGAUAAAGGAGGGAAACUUAAGCUAAUAACGCAUACGACCUACGGGUGAAAGCAGGGGAUCUUCGGACCUUGCGCGGUUGAAUGAGCCGAUGUCGGAUUAGCUAGUUGGCGGGGUAAAGGCCCACCAAGGCGACGAUCCGUAGCUGGUCUGAGAGGAUGAUCAGCCACACUGGAACUGAGACACGGUCCAGACUCCUACGGGAGGCAGCAGUGGGGAAUAUUGGACAAUGGGCGCAAGCCUGAUCCAGCCAUACCGCGUGGGUGAAGAAGGCCUUCGGGUUGUAAAGCCCUUUUGUUGGGAAAGAAAAGCAGCAGGUUAAUACCCCGCUGUUCUGGCGGUACCCAAAGAAUAAGCACCGGCUAACUUCGUG